rnacentral:tRNA from 1 species
GGGCCUAUAGCUCAAUGGUCAGAGCAGAGGACUCAUAAUCCUUUGGUUCCAGGUUCGAAUCCUGGUGGGCCCACCA